UACAGAGGUGCCGAGCGUUAGGCGGAAUCACUGGGCUUAAAGCGCGUGUAGGCGGGUCGUUAAGUGUCCGCGUGAAAUCCCACGGCUCAACCGUGGAACUGCCGGGCAUACUGGCGACCUUGAGGCACUUAGGGGCGAGCGGAACAAAUGGUGGAGCGAUGAAAUGCGUAGAUAUCAUUUGGAACGCCGACGGUGAAAACAGCUCGCUGGGAGUGUCCUGACGCUGAGACGCGAAAGCCAGGGGAGCGAACGGG
rnacentral:rRNA from 1 species